UAAUACGUAGGGUGCGAGCGUUAAUCGGAAUUACUGGGCGUAAAGCGUGCGCAGGCGGCUUUAUAAGACAGAUGUGAAAUCCCCGGGCUUAACCUGGGAACUGCGUUUGUGACUGUAAAGCUAGAGUGUGGCAGAGGGGGGUGGAAUUCCACGUGUAGCAGUGAAAUGCGUAGAGAUGUGGAGGAACACCGAUGGCGAAGGCAGCCCCCUGGGUUAACACUGACGCUCAUGCACGAAAGCGUGGGGAGCAAACAGG
rnacentral:rRNA from 1 species